UUUGUCAAGUUAGUUAUUAGUGAGCUGUUAGAUGAUUCAUGUUAGUUAGAGGUUGAACCCUGAUAGAGUUAGUUAGGUAUUUUGAAAAAGUCUGUAUUUGCAAGUGGUUGAAUAUUAUUAGCAGUGAAACUUUAUGUCAGCGUGAAUAGGAUAAAUCCAACAACCAAGAGUAUUGUCGUUAUCUUCAUGAAUUAUAUACCUCCUUCUCAGACCAGGAAUAAGAGCAUCCAUUAUCAUCACCGGUAGAACCUCUGUAGGUUUAAACAUGAUAUGUGCAGGGUAAUUGAGAAAAAUCGAAGAACCUUUGGUUAGGACAUGUGAACCAGUGAGUACAACAAAAAGCUUAUCACGUUUUCCAUGGGUUCACCACUUGCUUGCUUGUGAGACCUUGAAGGUAAAUCAGAAACAGGAAAACAGACCCUUGAACAAACGUGAAAUACCAACCAUAGCUGGAAUGAAGCCUGUUAUAUUUGAUGUCCUUGUUAUGUCGUGAACGUGCGACAGGUCUUAGAUUGAACAUUAUGGAUAAGGGUUGAUUUGCUUGACGUUAUGCUAAUUAGAAUCAUGUUAAACCAAGCAAACUCAUAGCAUGAGUGCGUAGGAGGAUCUAUUGGACGAUCAAUGUUAAUCGAGCUACAAAGUCUGCUUGUCGAAAAAACGGAAUUCUGCUAAUGAUUAGUUAACAGUGAAGUGUCGAAACGGACCGGUGAACCCGUCCUAUUGAUGCAACCUAUCAUCUGAAUUUUGUAUAGGUUGAUAAAUUCUGUCAUGAUUCUGUUUCUCUCAUUUUACACAGGAUUUUGUUGAAAUGCUUUGUGAUAUGUUCGCCACUGCUAUGAUGCCGUGUAGCUGCUUAACAUAACACCGGUAACAAAUGUCUUUAGGUUUUCCACUGUUUGGUAGUGUGGUUCAGACUCUUCCUCAGCAUUUGGAAAACUUCAACAGGCACACAUCGUCUCUACUGCUGGUGUGAUGCAGAAGCAGGUUUAUUAUCGUAAGGAAUUCCAUCAACAGGCCCUCCAACAUGCAUGCGAGCACUUUAUCGCUCAAGUCCUCCUGAGGCGUAAUAUCAACCAGGAAAUCAAAAGGAUCAGUUCUGGGGAUGGUUGCCGCAAUAUCAAUAUUUUGGAGUGUUCGCCGUUUGUUCUCUUCAGUAUGAGUCCAAGAAUGCAGAAUUUUGCACACCUUUGCGAAUACAAUCGGCGCCUCAACUGAUACCGUAUUCUCAUCUUCAUCCACCUUCAUAAUUUUCUUGAUCCUUGCCAAGGGAAGGCCAUGGUUUUUGAAAUCGGUUACCAUCUCAAUUCCUUGGUAUUGGUUUCUCCAAAAAGGGUUGGGGUUGUUAUUGUCGCCGUAGAACCUGUGACGGAGACAGCCCUAUGAAUCUAACAGUACUCUUGCUCCUGCCUUCGUCAAUUACAGUACGAGUUUUAUUCCGGAAAUCCUCUCCGCAUUGGCGUUGCAAGUCAAUUCGUGACAGAAGGAGUUGACAAUGCAAGUGGUUCGUGAAGCUUCAGAUUGGGCACUUGAGGUCGACUUCACUAUCCAUUGUGAAGGCACAUGAAUUUAUGCAUUCAACUGCUCUUUCCAUAAGUUUAACAGCCCUCUCCUUUAUUUUGGAUUGCCAAUUGAUUAAAUGAAACGUUCAUCUCGUGACUAGCCACUGCAGGUGAAAAAUGAAAGGGCCUUGGUGUAGAGUUUGCAGUACGAGAACCUACUGAACCAGUAACUCUGCUAGACUUUGUUAACCCCUCCCAACCCAAGUUUGAUGAAGGCUAAUAAAAAUGACUCAGUUCAGCUGCUGUAGGAUUCUGUUAUAUGGUGAAUCGAUGAUUGGUGAUUGAUGCUCUGCAGUUGGCUUAAAUAUGGGGAAGCUCCUAUUUCACAGAUGGACCUCAUGGAUGAAAAAUCCAACCCCGUAUGCUGGAUUUCCAUGAUAACCUUGGCGGUCUGUUGUUGUGACGGAUGUUGUCAUGUUCUAUCAUGGCCCUGUUAUGCUGCUAUGCUGUGAUGAAUGGAAUGUUUGCAUUGUUAUGUUGGUUUUCUUAAUCGCGAAUGAAGUUAUACAGGUGAAACUUGCUGGAUGCACGCGGGAUUUCACUUGGUUUUUUGUGGCAUCUUGGAGAACGUGUAAAUGAAAUUAGAGUAUUCCUGCAAAGCUUUUGUUUCGGUUGCAUUGCCGACGGUGUGUUGGCAUGUUGUAAUCUUGUGUGUCAGCAGCACCUUCAGCAAUGUGAGCAAUGGAGGACAGGAGUGACGACGUGGAGCUCGAAAUCAGAUUUAACCUCGACGACGUUUGCAAGUUACUCUGCAAUAUAUUUGACAUGGGGUCUCCAACCAUAUUCCUGUAGUCUCCGUAAGCACGAAGGGAUUGAUGUGUUGACGGGCGUAAAGAUGUAGGCAGGUCUUUCUUGGUUUUUCUUCUUGAACUCUUAAUGCCGAAUCGAAAGAAUAAACUCUUAGUGGUUGUGUCAACCAUUCAAGAGGAAGCGUUUACGUAGACAGGUUGGUCAUUUCCAGUCCAUGCCAGAUCUAUUUCUCAGAAAGAUUGGAUUCCUUAGAUGGUACACAGUUCAGAUAAUGCAUUGUUGGAAACAAAUUCACCAUCAGAAUGUGGUUCUUCCCUAUCCGGAUAACAUGCAGAUGCUUCAGAAACAUGACAAGACUCCAUCUGGCCAUCUGGCUCCACAAGCUUGUGACUUUCACGAGACUCGUGCAAUUUUGAAGGCUGAGAAUUAUUUUGCUCCAGCCAAGAGUUGAAACUUUGAUCCUCAUGAAGUGGUUGAAUCAGGUGCAACUAGUUCAAUUUGCUACAGGUGGAUUGUCUCCGACUUAAGGCCGCUUAUUCCGCAUCAAUGGCUGUAGACGAUGAAGGUAAGCCGGAUGCCGACCAUCGACGUUCUUCUCAACCGUCUUUAGGAACUUCCUGAAGAGGGAAUGAACUUAUGCGCUUCUUUCUAACCGAGGCGCUUACGCGGUGACGCAGUCAUGGUGUUCAUCAUUUAUGGCAAUGCUGAUGCCUUCCUUGGAGACUUGCACAUGCGCACGAUCUUCCCGACAUAAGAAGGGGGGAGUUACUGUACGAGACAACAAUAUUAGCAGUACCUUCAUUCUUGUAAACCCCGUCUCACCAGCCACUCAUCCUGCAUGUCGUACUGCACAAAGCCUUAAAAAUAGUACAUUCAUGAUGUAAUGAGCAGUUUUGGAUCUUGUGGUUUUGAAUAUUGUACCGAUUCCUUUUCUGUCACUUGGAAAUACUAAUGCCUCAUGCUUGGUUUUAUAGU